rnacentral:ncRNA from 1 species
AAGAAUAUGAACUAAUGCUGUUUGGGGAAUGGUUCGGCUCAAGACGCCGAUGAAGGGCGUGACAAGCUGCGAUAAGCCUGGGCUAGGCGCAUGUGGCCAUUGAACCCAGGAUGCCCGAAUGGGACUUCCCGUUUCUAUUCCGAAAGGAAGGGGAACCCCCUGAAUUGAAACAUCUUAGUAGGGGGAGGAAAAGAAAGCAAAUGCGAUGUCCUUAGUAAAGGCGAUCGAAAAGGACAGAGAGCAAACUGAACUUGUGAUACUUAAGUAUCAUAAGGAUGUGGUGUAUGGGCUCUACUUACGAUUACUUCAUGUGAAGCUGAAUUUAUCUGAAAUGAUAUACCGCAGAGGGUGAAAGUCCCGUAAGCGUAAACAUGAAGAAUUUGUAGAGUACCUGAGUACUGUGGGUCGGAUAUCCUUCAGGAAAAAGGGAGGCAUCAACUCCUAACUCUAAAUACGUAUUGAGACCGAUAGUGAAUUAGUACCGUGAGGGAAAACUGAAAA